UUUCAGCACCAGCGCUGCCUUGUGGGUUCUCCUUUUCAAGCAGCAUAAUGAAGAUGUAAUGGAAUAUGAAAGAAGAAAAGAAGAGAGGCAACGUUGGCGGUAUGCUCAGUAAGAAGUCACGUGAUCACCAGUUGUCCUACAAAUAAAUGAGUGCAGCAGAGGUACAAAGUAACUAAAUACAUGUUCAUACAUUUCAUGUGCAGAAUUAUGAAAUAAAUUAUAAAGUCUGGAAGAAACUUACUAAG